AUUGAACGCUGACGGCAUGCCUUACACAUGCAAGUCGAACGGCAGCACGGGAGCAAUCCUGGUGGCGAGUGGCGAACGGGUGAGUAAUAUAUCGGAACGUGCCCAGUAGUGGGGGAUAACUGCUCGAAAGAGCAGCUAAUACCGCAUACGACCUGAGGGUGAAACGGGGGUGUAGCAAGAACUCUCGCUAUUGGAGCGGCCGAUAUCAGAUUAGCUAGUUGGUGGGGUAAAGGCCUACCAAGGCAACGAUCUGUAGCUGAUGUGAGAGCAUGUUCAGCCACACGGGCACUGAGACACGGGCCCGACUCCUACGGGAGGCAGCAGUAAGGAAUAUUGGUCAAUGGACGCAAGUCUGAACCAGCUAUGCCGCGUGAAGGAUUAAGGUCCUCUGGAUUGUAAACUUCCUUUAUUUGGGACGAAAAAGGGCCUUUCCAGGUCAACUGACGGUACCAGAUGAAUAAGCACCGGCUAACUCCGUGCCAGCAGCCGCCGUAAGAC
rnacentral:rRNA from 1 species